AUCUAUCUGAUUUAAUGUGUAGCUCGUGAUAGAAUCUUCCAUUUUAUGCAAAUCGAAAUAAGGGUUCUUUGAGUUUUAAAAAAUUAGGGUUUUUCAUUUUAGCUUGAUUAGCUUAAUUUGAAAGAUUAAGCAGUCUCUGUUGGUAGUUAUUAGCCAUGAUUGAAGACGAAUUUAGGCAGUCUUGCUUGAUUUCGAUAAGUAAUUGCUUCAUUCUCUCUUUGAGUAUUGUUUAGUUUCGAAAACUGCAAUCUCUAAUUCUUGCUUGUUCUUUGUUGCAAAUUGAGCUCUGAUUCUUUGUAUCUCUCAAGGUUCUCUGGAACUUCUCCAAGUCCAAGUGGGUCAAAUCCAAAGUCACUGCACAAUGUUGUACCCAAUAACUUGUCAUAAAAUAAGGUUUCAAUACAUUUAUCUAGAUUCUCUAGAUACAUAUCUAAAAGACCAUCAGUUUUGAGCUAUUUUCUACAACAAAAUAAACCCAA